GAAUAAGGAAUUCGACCCACUAACUGUUUACGCAGCGUGGCCCAACUGGGGAAAAAAUGACGCCGACACCCAUGGCCCGUAGGUCAGUUCCACCACGCCUGCACUCGCGUCGUGAUCCACUGGUAAGUGGGCCGGGCUCGGAGUGUCGUGCUUGGCGUGAAUGACAGACACCCUAUUACAACAAUUCGGCCGCAUUGACUAGGGCGUGGGGCUGUGGCACCCCUCCCUCGACCCGGUAUAAGGCUCGUGUGUGCACCCUACCCUCCCGACUAUCCACGUGUGAGAAUCGCUGAGACCAAUCCUCGUACCGUCGCGGGCGGAGAGGGGAAACGGGAGUCCGCCGCCGCCGUCGAACCACGACAUCAUAGCCGCUCUACUCCAGUAACCUGGUCCCGGGUGUUUGGACGAGUGCGUGAGUCACGCUCGGGGGAAGAAGCCGGGUGCACGAGGUUUCGGGGAGACGGGAAUUUCUCACCGAAGUAGGAGCUCCGCAGUGGGCUCGCGCCACCACGUGGACGGGAGGGUCUCCACUCCGAACCAAGGUAGCCCUGUUGCGCAGAAUUGGAGAAA
rnacentral:lncRNA from 7 species